rnacentral:tRNA from 1 species
AAGAGAGUCAUAGAAGUUAUGGGAUUGGCUUGAAACCAGUUUCUGGGGGUUCGAGUCCUUCCUUUCUCA